CCUACGGAUGGCUGCAGUAGGGAAUCUUCCACAAUGGACGAAAGUCUGAUGGAGCAACGCCGCGUGAGUGAAGAAGGGUUUCGGCUCGUAAAGCUCUGUUGGUAGUGAAGAAAGAUAGAGGUAGUAACUGGCCUUUAUUUGACGGUAAUUACUUAGAAAGUCACGGCUAACUACGUGCCAGCAGCCGCGGUAAUACGUAGGUGGCAAGCGUUGUCCGGAUUUAUUGGGCGUAAAGCGAGUGCAGGCGGUUCAAUAAGUCUGAUGUGAAAGCCUUCGGCUCAACCGGAGAAUUGCAUCAGAAACUGUUGAACGUGAGUGCAGAAGAGGAGAGUGGAACUCCAUGUGUAGCGGUGGAAUGCGUAGAUAUAUGGAAGAACACCAGUGGCGAAGGCGGCUCUCUGGUCUGCAACUGACGCUGAGGAGCGAAAGCGUGGGUAGCAAACAGGAUUAGAUACCCUAAUAGUC
rnacentral:rRNA from 1 species